AAUUUAUGAUGCUGUAAGGGUUGAAACUCGAAUGUAUUUGUGAAAUGCAUUGGACUUCCAAUGACCCAAGACGCGAAUCUGCGCAUCAGACAAGCCCUGCUCAGCUGCGAAUGAUGCUGCGCCAAUUCGGAAACUGUGAGAUUUAUAAACCGUAGGAUUGAGGUUGCAAAAUUUUAAGCAUUGCUUGAGAUAGGAAAUAAACAUGUUUCUCGGCACCGUCGCCCCCACAGGAGUCAUGAAAAUUGGCCCAGGAGAAUUGCCACGGCGGGUCAAAUAAUUGCACAAAAGUUGUACAGGGCAGGGCUUGGGGGUUGGCUGACGAUAAAUGGCCAUGGAAAACGGGCGUUGGUUGUAAUUGUGUUUAUAGUCGGUGAAGGUUAUUUUAAAACCAAUUACUUCACCGUCUCUUAAGAGUUUGGUGAGUUGGUUUAAAUGUAGUGGAAUAGGAGACUGCUUUGAUGUUGAAGUUAGUUCGCCAAUACGUAGAAAGGCGAAGAAUGCCAGAGCACACAUGGCUUUAAAUUGGCAUUGAUCAUAUGUAGUGGUAAUACACUGUGAAGCAGCCAUAAGUAAUCGGGUAAGGAUUGGAAGGGUUAUUGGUAACCGACUAUCCAAGCGAAAACCCAGUUUUCCAUAGCCCUUUAGCAUUUGCAUAAUGAAAAAGACUUUUGUUG